UUCUUCCUAGGACAGCAUAUAUACUAAAAUUGGAACAAUACAGAGAAGAUUAGCAUGACCCCUGCGCAAGGAUGACACACACAUUUGUGAAGUUCCAUAUUUUU